CUCUGAGCUGAGAGAGAACGGACACACUCCUGCAGGGGGACAUGUGCCAUAUGCCUCCUUACAGCCUGCUCUGUGUGCUGAUGGCCUUGGCUUUGUCUGGAUUUAAUGUGGCUCAGGUUCAGUCAACAGCAAGCAUGCAGGAGGGGGAAGAAGUCACCCUGGACUGUUCAUAUGAGACAAGUCAGAACAUAUAUCAUCUUUUCUGGUACAAGCAGCUUCUUAGUGGAGAUAUAAUUUUCCUUAUUCGCCAAACUUCUUUUGAUUCUCAGAACCAGAGGAGUGGCCGCUAUUCUGUAGUCUUCCAGAAAUCACUCAAGUCCAUCAGCCUUGUCAUUUCAGCCUCUCAGCCAGAGGAUUCGGGGAAGUAUUUCUGUGCUCUCUGGGAAUUGACACAGUGGUAGAAGUGACAGCACAAGCUGAACAAAAACUGGGGCUCCUUAAACAGAGCCCCUCUGAGGGAGGGAGCCCAGCUGAGAAGCCCACCUGCACAUCCUGAAC
rnacentral:lncRNA from 1 species